UGGGGAAUAUUGCACAAUGGGCGCAAGCCUGAUGCAGCCAUGCCGCGUGUGUGAAGAAGGCCUUCGGGUUGUAAAGCACUUUCAACGGGGAGGAAGGCGAUAAGGUUAAUAACCUCAUCGAUUGACGUUACCCGCAGAAGAAGCACCGGCUAACUCCGUGCCAGCAGCCGCGGUAAUACGGAGGGUGCAAGCGUUAAUCGGAAUUACUGGGCGUAAAGCGCACGCAGGCGGUCUGUCAAGUCGGAUGUGAAAUCCCCGGGCUCAACCUGGGAACUGCAUUCGAAACUGGCAGGCUAGAGGCUUGUAGAGGGGGGUAGAAUUCCAGGUGUAGCGGUGAAAUGCGUAGAGAUCUGGAGGAAUACCGGUGGCGAAGGCGGCCCCCUGGACAAAGACUGACGCUCAGGUGCGAAAGCGUGGGGAGCAAACAGG
rnacentral:rRNA from 1 species